GCCGGCUAACUACGUGCCAGCAGCCGCGGUAAUACGUAGGGCGCAAGCGUUGUCCGGAAUUAUUGGGCGUAAAGAGCUCGUAGGUGGCUUGUUGCGUCUGCCGUGAAAGCCCGUGGCUUAACUGCGGGUCUGCGGUGGAUACGGGCAGGCUAGAGGCUGGUAGGGGCAAGCGGAAUUCCUGGUGUAGCGGUGAAAUGCGCAGAUAUCAGGAGGAACACCGGUGGCGAAGGCGGCUUGCUGGGCCAGUUCUGACGCUGAGGAGCGAAAGCGUGGGGAGCGAACAGGAUUAGAUACCCUGGUAGUCCACGCUGUAAACGUUGGGCGCUAGGUGUGGGGAUCUUCCAUGGUCUCUGUGCCGUAGCUAACGCAUUAAGCGCCCCGCCUGGGGAGUACGGCCGCAAGGCUAAAACUCAAAGGAAUUGACGGGG
rnacentral:rRNA from 1 species